AUUGAACGCUGGCGGCAGGCUUAACACAUGCAAGUCGAGCGGGGAAGUAUAGCUUGCUAUACGACCUAGCGGCGGACGGGUGAGUAAUGCUUAGGAAUCUGCCUAUUAGUGGGGGACAACAUUCCGAAAGGAAUGCUAAUACCGCAUACGCCCUACGGGGGAAAGCAGGGGAUCUUCGGACCUUGCGCUAAUAGAUGAGCCUAAGUCAGAUUAGCUAGUUGGUGGGGUAAAGGCCUACCAAGGCGACGAUCUGUAGCGGGUCUGAGAGGAUGAUCCGCCACACUGGGACUGAGACACGGCCCAGACUCCUACGGGAGGCAGCAGUGGGGAAUAUUGGACAAUGGGCGCAAGCCUGAUCCAGCCAUGCCGCGUGUGUGAAGAAGGCCUUUUGGUUGUAAAGCACUUUAAGCGAGGAGGAGGCUACUGGUAUUAAUACUACCGGAUAGUGGACGUUACUCGCAGAAUAAGCACCGGCUAACUCUGUGCCAGCAGCCGCGGUAAUACAGAGGGUGCGAGCGUUAAUCGGAUUUACUGGGCGUAAAGCGUGCGUAGGCGGCUUUUUAAGUCGGAUGUGAAAUCCCUGAGCUUAACUUAGGAAUUGCAUUCGAUACUGGGAAGCUAGAGUAUGGGAGAGGAUGGUAGAAUUCCAGGUGUAGCGGUGAAAUGCGUAGAGAUCUGGAGGAAUACCGAUGGCGAAGGCAGCCAUCUGGCCUAAUACUGACGCUGAGGUACGAAAGCAUGGGGAGCAAACAGG
rnacentral:rRNA from 1 species